GUACUGCUGAGGAGUCCCACAAUAGGACGAAACGGCCCUCCAGUGC
rfam:Schistosoma rodhaini strain Burundi genome assembly, scaffold: SROB_scaffold0007326